rnacentral:rRNA from 1 species
AACGAACGCUGGCGGCAUGCCUAACACAUGCAAGUCGAACGAGACCUUCGUGUCUAGUUGCGCACGGGUGCGUACGCGUGGGAACCUGCCCUUAGGUUCGGAAUAUCUCCCCGAAAGGGGUGCUUAUCCCGGAUAAUGUUUUCGUACCAAAGCUUUAUCGCCUUUGGAUGAGCCCGCGUUGGAUUAGCUCGUUGGUAGGGUAAAAGCCUACCAAGGCGACGAUUCAUAGCUGGUCUGAGAGGAUGAUCAGCCACACUGGGACUGAGACACGGCCCAGACUCCUACGGGAGGCAGCAGUGGGGAAUAUUGGAAAAUGGGCGAAAGCCUGAACCAGCAAGGCCGCGUGAGUGAUGAAGGCCUUAGGGUUGUAAAGCUCUUUUACCCGGGAUGAUAAUGACAGUACCGGGAGAAUAAGCACCGGCUAACUCCGUG